rnacentral:rRNA from 1 species
AUGUAUAUCCUACCGGAGGGCGUUCAUGGCUCUUUCGAUAAGGAGCUUGCGAGGUUCUUCUGGCAGGCCACGGCCGCCCCCCAGAAGUAUCACAGGGUCAAGUGGGCAGAUAUCUGCAGACCCAAGGACCAGGGUGGCUUGGGCAUUAUGGCCUCUCGUCGCAUGAACGUGGCCCUUAUGCUACGAUAGGUAUGGCAGAUCAUGCGCGGCGAAGGAGGGUUGUGGCUACGACUGAUUCUAGCUAAAUACUUGAGGGGUGAACCCCUCCUGGCAUGCUCCCGCCUGGGAGGUUCCCAAUUUUGGCGAUCCAUCCAAAAGAUCAAGGACGAGAUCCGCCUAGGGAUCUCAUUCAAUAUAGGUAAUGGGACGGGACCCAAUUCUGGCUAG